GACGUAGGAGGCGAGCGUUGUCCGGAUUCAUUGGGCGUAAAGAGCACGCAGGCGGUUUGGCAAGUCGGAUGUGAAAACCCGGAGCUCAACUCCGGACCUGCAUCCGAAACUGCCCGACUAGAGGUAGGUAGGGGAGAUCGGAAUUCCUGGUGUAGCGGUGAAAUGCGCAGAUAUCAGGAGGAACACCAAUUGCGAAGGCAGCUCGCUGGGACGUGACUGACGCUGAGACGCGAAAGCGUGGGGAGCAAACAGG
rnacentral:rRNA from 1 species